rnacentral:lncRNA from 1 species
CUUUCUCCAACACUUCUGUUGAAGUGUUUCCCCACACAAUGAUGUCAUCAAUGUACUGCAGAUGUUCUGGGGCCUCACCCUUUUCCAGUGCAGCCUGGAUCAGUCCAUGGCAGAUGGUGGGACUGUGCUUCCACCCCUGGGGCAGUCGGUUCCAGGUGUACUGCAUGCCCCUCCAGGUGAAGGCAAACUGAGGCCUGCACUCUGCUGCCAGAGGAAUGGAGAAAAAUGCAUUAGCAAUGUCAAUAGUGGCGUACCACUUCGCUGCUUUGGACUCCAGCUCCUACUGUGUAAGAGACGGUCCGAAAAUCCCUCAUCUGCCUCACGAUCAUCGCCGAAGACAGAGACUGAACACAGCAGUCCUGGCCUGGCUGAGGUGGGAUUGUCUGCCAAGUGUUGCCUACGGGUGUGCCCACUGGGAACUGCAACGGACCCCAUAACAAUGGCUGUAGAUUUCCCAACCUCUUGGCCAGUUGCCCCUCGCUUCUGAAAAGGACUAUAAAGGGACCUUCUAAAUAACCAAGUCCGGAGAUCUCCCCACGGAAAGAAGACGAAUCUAUUGGCGGAAGACCACGAGGACUUCGUCUCAUCCGUUGGUAGCUAUUGCCCCUCUUUUUCCCCCUCUCUACUUUGUUUCUCUUUCUCUCUCUCUCUCUUACUCUCUUCUAUUGCAUUACUGUGUUGUGGGCACUUAAUAAAGGUGCACUGUUUUGAUUAAAACUGAAAUCUCUUGUGUCCUUUUACACUCUGAGAUCGAUAAACGAACCAUCACGACCCCCGCUUGCAUUAGCGGAUCGUGACAUACUGGAGCUUCAAUAUGUCCGGCACAGCAGCGCUCAAUGGUGGAGUCACUUCAUUCAAGACACGAUAGUCCACAGUCAAUCUCCAUUCCCCAUCAGACUUGCGCACAGGCCAGAUGGGGCUGUUGAAGGGUGAGUGGGUCUUGCUGACCACCCCUUGGCUCUCCAGCUCGCGGAUCAUCUUGUGGAUGGGGAUCACAGCAUCUCGAGUUGUCCGAUACUGCCGGCGAUGCACUGUCGAGGUGGCAAUUGGCACUCGUUGCUCUUCCACUUUCAGGAGCCCAACUGCAGAAGGAUUCUCUGAUAGUCCGGGCAGGGUGUUCAAUUGCCUAAUGCCCUCUGCCUCCACAGCAGCAAUCCCAAAUGCCCACCUGAGUCCUUUCGGGUCUUUGUAAUAGCCAUUCCGGAGGAAGUCUAUGCCCAGAAUACACGGGGCCUCUGGGCCAGUCACAAUUGGAUGCUUUUGCCACUCCUUCCCAGUCAGGCUCACCUCAGCUUCCAAAAGGGUCAACUGCUGUGAUCCCCCGGUCACCCCAGUGAUGGAUACAGGUUCUGCCCCCACAUGUCCCGAUGGCAUUAAAGUACACUGUGCCCCAGUAUCAACCAACGCAUCAUAUUUUUGUGGCUCUGAUGUGCCAGGCCAUCAAAUCCACACUGUCCAGAAAAUCCGGUUCUCCCGUGCCUCUUCCUGGCUAGAAGCAGGG